rnacentral:rRNA from 1 species
GUCGAGCGAAUGGAUUAAGAGCUUGCUCUUGUGAAGUUAGCGGCGGACGGGUGAGUAACACGUGGGUAACCUGCCCAUAAGACUGGGAUAACUCCGGGAAACCGGGGCUAAUACCGGAUAACAUUUUGAACCGCAUGGUUCGAAAUUGAAAGGCGGCUUCGGCUGUCACUUAUGGAUGGACCCGCGUCGCAUUAGCUAGUUGGUGAGGUAACGGCUCACCAAGGCAACGAUGCGUACCCCACCUGAGAGGGUGAUCGGCCACACUGGGACUGAGACACGGCCCAGACUCCUACGGGAGGCAGCAGUAGGGAAUCUUCCGCAAUGGACGAAAGUCUGACGGAGCAACGCCGCGUGAGUGAUGAAGGCUUUCGGGUCGUAAAACUCUGUUGUUAGGGAAGAACAAGUGCUAGUUGAAUAAGCUGGCACCUUGACGGUACCUAACCAGAAAGCCACGGCUAACUACGUGCCAGCAGCCGCGGUAAUACGUAGGUGGCAAGCGUUAUCCGGAAUUAUUGGGCGUAAAGCGCGCGCAGGUGGUUUCUUAAGUCUGAUGUGAAAGCCCACGGCUCAACCGUGGAGGGUCAUUGGAAACUGGGAGACUUGAGUGCAGAAGAAGAAAGUGGAAUUCCAUGUGUAGCGGUGAAAUGCGUAGAGAUGUGGAGGAACACCAGUGGCGAACGCGACUUUCUGGUCUGUAACUGACACUGAAGCGCGAAAGCGUGGGGAGCAAACAAGAUUAGAUACCCUGGUAGUCCACGCCGUACACGAUGAGUGCUAAGUGUUAGAGGGUUUCCGCCCUUUAGUGCUGAAGUUAACGCAUUAAGCACUCCGCCUGGAGAGUACGGCCGCAAGGCUGAAACUCAAAGGAAUUGACGGGGGCCCGCACAAGCGGUGGAACAUGUGGUUUUAAUUCAAAGCAACGCGAAGAACCUUACCAGGUCUUGACAUCCUC